AGAGAUUAAACUGAAGAGUUUGAUCCUGGCUCAGAUUGAACGCUGGCGGCAUGCCUUACACAUGCAAGUCGAACGGCAGCACGGAGCUUGCUCUGG
rnacentral:rRNA from 1 species